rnacentral:lncRNA from 1 species
CUUUCACAGCCAGAGUCCUGGUGGAGGAUGACGAGAUCAUGCAGGGAUUCAUCAGGGCUUUCAGGCCCCUGCCCAGGCACCUAUGGUACUUGCUGGACUUGAAACAGAUGGAAGGUGAGCUCUGCCUAGGACACGCCCAGCCUCAGCUGGAGGAGAAGCUGCCUCUUUCUCAGCCUGAGCCCCCUGCUGGCUCUGUAGGACUCAGGUCACUCCUUUUUGGCCCCUCCCCUGUUCUCCCCCGGCCUCCUGGGGUGCAGAGCCACCCUGAGAUGGGGUCCUGCCCUCUCCCGCCAUCUUUUCACCCCCUCUCUAGCCCUGGGGCUGCUGUGUCCCCAGCUGUCUCUUCUCUCGCUGACACCUCCACUGUCCCAUCUCCUCCCACAGAGCUGUGCCGUUUCUAGGUGAGCUCCUGCCUGGUCCUGCCUCCUGGGUAAUGUAUCAGCCUCGCCCACUGUCUGCGGCUGCCUCUCUGGGCCCCUGGGACAGACCCCACUGUGUCCAGUUCAGGGCUGACCCUGCAGGAAUGAACUGGGGUCUGGUCUUGUGAUUCCAGAAAGCCAGGCUGCUGACGUCCCCAUCCACCAGCCCAGCCUGUGUCUUGCAGCCAUUGUAUUAGUCACAGGCUCGUGCCCUAUAGUCAGACCUCAUGCUUUCUUUUGGAGUUCGGGGUGUUGGUUGGAAAUAGUGGGGGCUAUAGGAGGAAGGAGGAUGGUUACACGGAAGGGCAUGAGAAGCUGGGGACCUGCAGGUCUCAGUCCCACAUUCUUUUUUUUUUUUUUAAGAUGGAGUCUCGCUCUGUCACCAGGCUGGAGUGCAGUGGCACAAUCUCAGCUCACUGCAACCUCGACCUCCUGGGUUCAAGCGAUUCUCCUGGCUCAGCCCCCCGCAGCAAGUAUCAAUGACCACAGAUUAAGAGAAAAUAGAUUAAAAGAGUCAUAAUGGAUUAUGCUAUUUGACUCCAGAAUACAUUUUUUACAAUCCAAAAGAGAUGAUUUCAAGGCAAAUAUAAGCAUCCAAAACAGAUCAAAGAAGACUGGAGACAAAGUAGAGUAG